UGUGAUCGACUACGUCGACGACGACCCUCCUUCUUGUCUGAGCAACCAGGCAAGCCUCCCCUUUGAUCAUCCCGAUAUCUCCCAUUCUAUACUCUCAUGCUUGCAUUAGAUUUUGCUACUGUUAUUGAUUGCUUCUAUUCUGAUGCAUAGCCUACUUUUGUAAAUGUUGUUGUACCUUACCUGCUUAUCCUAAACUGCUUAGUAUAGGUUGGCUAGUGAUCCAUCCGUGACCCGCAUUUGUCCUUGUUGCCCCUUCUUCAUCAUCGACGCCUCGAUCGACGUGAUCGACGACCAAAGCCCGACACCUCACAUCACAUCACGCCCAUUUAGUUGCUCGACUCUUUAGAGCUACUAUCGAAUGCCGAGGGUGAUCCCUCAUAACGCACUCCUGAUGAUAAUUCUGUAGUGUAGCUAUUCGGUCAUGGUCAUCGAGGGUGAUUUCCUCUUUCACCAUUCCCGAAAAGGCUCUGUCGUUCAACACCUCAAGUGUGAACCUCGAGGGUGGUCCCUCUUAUGUUCACCUUGAAGAUUACAUUGAGUGGAAUACACCAGGGGUGAUUCCUCGGGUUUUCCCCUUGAUGUUUGGACACACAGUUACCUUGACUUUACUUGAGACCUUGGUGAAAGUCGGGCGGGCCCGGAGAGCACCCGCAAGAUAAUGACGUGGCACGGCGGGGCAUUCUAGGCCCUUGUCGUAAGUCCACGAGACGGGGCGACGGGGUCACUUUCGAUCGUGAGUCUCUGCUCAUCUCCGCAAGCUAAUAAAACACUAUUGUUUGGGUAUUUGUUCUGAGUUGGCCUCUGGCCUUUACGCACUAACCACCACGCGAGAAGAGAUAUGGGCCUCGACGUCGCAGUAUCAGCCGAAGCUUUGUCAGACGUCCAGUUCAGCAUUGCGGCAUGGCCCGGUCGGCGCCCUAGUGGAGGUGGCCUGUAUCGCCCUGCACAUAAUGACCCGGAGUGCACCGAGCGAUGGGCCCAGACCCCGGAGUGCUUAGAAUGUAGACCGGCUGGGACCUCUCUGUUGAGCCUAGGUAGGGUCGCGACGUGUUGAUCUUCCGAGGUCGGGCAUUAACCCCAGAAAGGUGUGUCCGGCCAGAGUGAUCGAGCGUGUUGGGUAAUGUGGUGCACCCCUACAGGGAAGUUAUAUAUUCGAAUAUCGUGUCCAUGCUAAUGGACAUUCAGACUUAUAUCCUGAUCUUAUACAACUACAAAUGGAUACUUAAGAUAUGUGGCUCCGGGAUUGUUUUCUCGCAGGGAGUCGAGGAAGGAUCUCUGGGCAUUAAUGUUACAACAUGUUUGUUAAAUAUUAAACUGGUAUUCUUUACUCUUCUACAUGUGGCAAGAUGCUCGGAGCUGCGUGAAGAUGCUAGUCUUUGAUACGCUAGGCCUUCCCCCUUUAUUCUGGCAUUCUGCAGUUCAGUCCAUAGAUACAAACCUUCCAUUUGAUACCAAUGCAUACUCAGUAUAGAUCUGAUGCUCGCGAGUACUUUGGAUGAGUACUCACGGUUGCUUUGCUACCCCUUUUCCCCCUUCUUUCUCCUUUUCGGUUGAUGCAACCAGAUGGUGGAUCCCUGGAGCCAGAUGCCAUCGCUGACUGAUACUGCUACAUGGAUGCUGCCGAAGACCAGGAGUAGUUAGGAUGUCCCAGGCAGGAGGCCUUGCCUCUUCGAUCGUGUUGCUUUUGUGCUAGCCUUCUUAAGGCAUCUUUGUUUAACUUAUGUCUGUCCUUAGAUAUUGUUGCUUCCGCAGACUCUUGUGUAUUGAGCUAUGUAUUCGAGCCUUCGAGGCCCCUGGCUUGUAAUAUGAAGCUUGUAUUAUUUUAUUUGUGUCUAGAGUUGUGUUGUGAUAUCUUCCCGUGAGUCCCUGAUCUUGAUCGUACAUAUUUGCGUGUAUGAUUAGUGUACGAUUGAAUCGGGGGCGUCACAGCUGUACUAAAUACAUGAGAAACAAAUAGAAUUGCUAUAUUUCCAAGUUGUUAAGCAUGCUUGAUUUCCAAGUUGUUAAGCAUGCUUCGUUUGGUUAACUGUUUAAUCUUCU
rnacentral:lncRNA from 1 species